GACGAACGCUGGCGGCGUGCUUAACACAUGCAAGUCGAACGAUGAAGCAAAGAAUCGAAGCUUCGGCAGAAAUUCAUUUCGGAUUAGUGGCAGACGGGUGAGUAACGCGUGAGCAACCUACCUCUUACAAAGGGAUAGCCUCGGGAAACCGGGAUUAAUACCAUAUAACAUUGUGACGAAGCAUUUCGAUGCAAUCAAAGCUACGGCGGUAAGAGAUGGGCUCGCGUCCCAUUAACCGGAUGGUGAGGUAACGGCUCACCAUAGUGACGAUGGGUAACCGGGCUGAGAGGGUGAACGGUCACACUGGAACUGAGACACGGUCCAGACUCCUACGGGAGGCAGCAGUGGGGAAUAUUGCACAAUGGAGGGAACUCUGAUGCAGCGACGCCGCGUGAGUGAUGAAGGAAUUCGUUUCGUAAAACUCUGUUCUAUGGGAAGAAAAGGACUGUACCAUAGGAGAAAGCUCCGGCUAAAUACGUG
rnacentral:rRNA from 1 species